CCCCUCCCCAGCGACUCCCGCUGCUGGCUGGCAGAGGCCAGGAGCCCAGAUAAGGGGAAGCUUUAGAAUGCACAAGUGUGGCGGCUUCCAGGAGGAUGGGCACCGUCCCUGACAGGCGAGGGGGACGGAGGAAGCCGCACUUUUCCUGAACAGUCACCUGUCACCUCCCUCUGCACAGGUGGAAGAGGAGCCCAGGCUCUCAGGAUCAGACCUACUGGCACAUGUGGCAAGUCCCCAGGCUGUCACCUGAGACACGUGACUUCAGAGCUAGAAAAUGGGCUGCCACGCUGGGCUGGGCUCUGGGUAGCUUCAGGGAGCCAGAGUACCCAAAACGCCCAGCAUGGAGGCCGGCACCUAGGCGGUCCCCCCAGGAGCUGCACUCCUUCCUCCCUGGAGCAGUUCAUCAGGCUGUGGCAUCUGGGGUGCUCUGAAUCAGCAGGUGGCCUCCAGGGUCCCCCCCCCCCAUCUGGAUGGGAGUCUGACCGUGGCUGUCCAUGGAGCACGGACGGGCGCGUGGCUCUGGGCGUGCUCCGUACAGCCCGGCCGGAUGAAAGGCUUGAUCCCUCCCCGAGUGCGGGCCAGAUGGCAGCGCGGCCUCCGAGGCACACGCCUGGCCUUUGUGGGCCGUUUAACACUGUGAAUGGGGCCAAAGUGUGGGAAAGUCGCUGGGCUCCCGGCUCACACGUCCGUCCGUCCGAGAUGAAUGGAUAAGUGAAAUGUGGUCCAUCCAUAAGACAGAAUAUUAUUCAGCCUUAAAAAGAAAGGCGAUUCUGACACCUGCUCCAACGUGGAUGGACCUUGAGGACGCCGUGCAGAGCGAAAUGAGCCAGCCACGAAAGGACACAUCCUACGUGAUCCCGCUUCUGUGACAUCCCUGGGAGUCACACUCACAGAGACAGAA